rnacentral:misc_RNA from 1 species
GGGGGCUUGAAAUUUUAUUCACAAAGAUUUUUUUUAACAGAGAUUAGGGAAGGCAAUAACACCAAAGAAAAUGUAAUGUUCAUUGAAACUGGGAAAAUAUAUAAAUGAAUCAAAAGAGAUCUCAACAAAAUUAUUUUCUGGCUGCACUGCCUAGAUAUUGUAUAUGUGCAGCCAGAAUGUUAAAAUUAUAGUAAUCAACCUUUUAAUUUGUAGCCAAAGCUACACCAGAGAGAGGCCACAGAUGACCACAACCAAAUAAAUACUGCAAUCAAUUAAGAGGCCACAAAUGGCCUGGUACAGGACCAAACCUCUCUCCAAGAUCUUGACUGCUUUAGCCCAUUUAUCUUCUUCUUCCUGAGCUUCAUUUCUUUCUUUCUCAACCUCCUCAGAGUCAUUUCCAUUCUCUCUAAACAAUUGAGCAAGCACAAUUGUUACAUCAGUUAGCAGGAUUAUGUAAAAAGGCCUGGAGGCAAUGAAGUUCUCUGAACUCAGAAUGUCAAAUCCAAACAUUGGAUAAUCAAUGUAAGAUAUAACCACUAGAAAAGCUAUAAUGAGAGAACAAUUAGCUCGCGUUCUCUCAGAAGCUAUAAUGCAGGAAUUUAUCCGUUUGGAAGAGAAAAAAUUUGGGGGAGGUGAUGCCUUUUCAACUGAUGGUGUGAUCCCAGAAGCCUGCUGCUCCAAUUUCGUGAUGGAGUCAGGACUUGUCGCACUUUUCACCAAACGAGGUUCCGCUUGGCUUCCUCUAUGGAAGUUUCUCGCCCCUGGAUAUUCAUUGAUGGUCCUGGUUUUCAUGAACUUGGAACCAGAGUCAUCUUCUUUUUCCUCAGGACCAGCCUUGAUUUGAGCAUUAUCAUUAGGAGAGAAGAUAAUUGAUGGGGAAGAUUCUGUGUGUGCAUGAUGUUGACGUUGAGUUGAUGAUGAUGGAAGCGACGGCGAUGAACUGAGAGUUUUGACUUGGCCUGUGAUGAGAGCCAUGCGAUCACUCCCUCUCUCCAUGAUUUUUCUUCUUCGUUCUUGUCUGACAUCGCUAUCCAUUUCUUUCUUGCCAAGCUCCCAAUUCUGCCUCACACCAAGCUU